UUUUUUUUUUUUUUUUUUUUUUGUCAGCUGAGCCCAUGGCAUGCAGAAGUUCCUGGAUUAGGGAUGGAACCCGCGCCGCAGCAGUAAUCUAGACCACAGCAGCGACAACACUGGAUCCUUAACCUCCUGUGCCACCAGGGAACUCCUUCAAUUUUUUUUGUCUUUUUAGGGCCACACCCACGCAUAUGGAGGUUCCCAGGCUAGAGGCCCAAUUGGAGCUACAGCAGCCAGCCUACGCCACAGCCACAGCAACAUCAGAUCCAAGCCUCAUCUGUGACCUACACCACAGCUCAUGGCAACGCCAGAUCCUUAACCCACUGAGCAAGGCCGAGGAUUGAACCUGCAACCUCACAGUUCCCAGUCAGAUUCGUUUUUGCUGCACCACGAUGGGAACUCCUGCCAUGUAAAUUUUGGAAUCAGCUUAUCAAUUUCUAUUAAAAAAAAAUCUAGAUACUCAUGUUGCAACACAACAAAGGGUGGGGAAAAAAAUGUAAUUGUAAUGUAUACAUGUAAGGAUAACUUAUCCCCUUGCUGUACAGUGGGAAAAAAAAAACAACAAAAAACCUGCUGGGAUUGGAUUGAGAUUGAGUUGAAUCUAUGUAUCAUUUGAGGGAAAGCUGAUAACUGUGUUUUCUGGCCCAUGAACACCCCAUGUCCCUCCAUGUAUCUGAACCUUCUUUAAUUUCUCUCAGCAGUAGUUUGUGGUUUUCAGUGUACAGGCCUUACACAUUGUUGUCAGAUUUAUUCCUAUUUCAUAUCUUUGAUGCUAUUACAAGUGGGUCUUUAAAUUUUUUUUUUUUUUUUUUAAUGUCUGAGGAUUCACUGCCAACACACAGAAUUACAGCUGGGUUUUGAGAUAUGGAUUUUGCAUCCUGCAACUUGACGAAACCCACUUCUCGGUUCUAGGAGCUUUUGAAAAGAUGCCACCAGUUUUUUUACAGAAACGAUCAGGUCUGGGAACACAUACUUUCUCGUCUUCCUUGCCAAUGGGGAUGCCUCUUCUUUUUUUUUUUUCUUUCCCUUGCCUGAGUGCACUGGCGAGAGCCUGAGUGCACCGGUGAACAGAACACUGGUGAACUGGUGCAACAGUGAACGGCAGUGAUGAGAAGCGACCUUCCUGUCUUGCUCCUGAUAGUAGGGGGGAAAGAGUCAUCAGUCUCUCACAAUCAAGUGUGUUAGCUGUAGUUCCACACAGAUCCGCUUUAUCAAGUCAAGGAAGUUCCCUUCUUUCCCGACUUGCUGAGGGUUUUCUAUCAGGAACAGAUGUUGGAUUUCUCAAGUCUGGGCAGACCCUGGCUGAUUCUCCGCUGCUGCUCUGUGCCCUGAUGUCCCUUAUUGUGCUCAUAUCCCGCUCC
rnacentral:lncRNA from 1 species